rnacentral:tRNA from 2 species
UGUUUUAGUAGCUUAUAAAGAGUAUAAUAUUGAAGAUAUUAGGGAAGUUUUUAACUUUAAAAUAU